AGCAGCACACUCCGAUGCAGCACACGGUCGCCCACUCACACCUGUGCAUACAAAACAGCAUCCGAACUCAAGCGCACACAUACAUACACGCACACACACAGCCUGAUUCCUUGUUCUGAUGUUGUGCGUGCGCAUAGGUACAUACAUAUAGAUGCAAGUAGAGAGAGUGUGUCGUGUGCAGGUCUAUCGAGGAAGGGAGGCACGAUGACGCGUCUCGCCUCUCUUCUCCUCCCUCUUCUUACCUCCUGCACCGAGUAAGGAAUUAUGCGAUGCAACUCCCUGCAGUGGGGAAAAGGAAAAGGGAAAACACGAAACAGACGAUCCGGCUGUUUUGUCGAGGUGGUCUACGGAGAGCGGACGUGCUAGGCCUCUUCGGGAGAGGCGAUCAGGAGGAGCCACACGCGUGCAUCUCCUUCCGUUCCCCUUCUCUCCACGUUCUGUUCCUCACACUUUAGUCGCGAACUUUUCUGGCUUUUUCUCUUCGUCGACGUUGUCUCUCUUUCCUUCUCAAUGCAAAAGGGUUUCGCCUUCGUGUGCCGAGGGAGGGGGCCUCCGCUGUUUCUUUCGGGCGGCCUCCGGCCGCCACACACGGGUGAAUAUACGCAUGUGGGGCGUGGUAGCUUUCUUUGCGCCCCUCUUACGUUAGGGAAGAUGUAAGCUGGUGCUUGCUAUCUUGUCUGUGCGAUCAACUUGAUCCCACCCCGGCCAGCCAUCCCCCCUCCGUUGUCUCUGCCGCCGGGCGCGAGGCAUGAUGGAUGUGGGAAGGAGUGGGCGUAGCACUUUCGUGGAAACUAUCGAAACGAUAAGCAUCAAUACCGUAUGAGCGGAAUGCAGAGGUCAGCUGCCCGGCCUACCCGGCAAUGUCAAACACGUUUGAGACAUCGCCCUUGACCAGGUGAGAACAAGGGAUGAUACUCCUCAAUGGAAUAACUCCACUCUUCGCUCGCCCUCUCGCUCUAAUCGCACACGAGUGAGGGCAAUAACUGCGCAUGCAUGCAUAUGUCACGGUGAAGGCGCUGCCUCGGACAGCGAACACUAAGGACGGACCCCAGCGGCGCCCCCUCCUCCGAAGUCAGCAGGUGCGUGCACGAGUUCUUGCGGGAACGAAAAAUUGCGUGUUUUUUUGUUGUUUGCUCGCUUCGCUCUUGUCCCACCUUGCGCUCUCUUCUCGGGGGCAUAACGGCGCGGCGGGAGAUCACGGGAAGGGCGGUUGAGCUGCUCUUCUUUCACACACACGCACUCUCUCUCUGCGGCAACGGCUACCUGAGUUGUAUCUCUCAGUGGCAACUCCAGCCUCCACUUCCUAUGAGAAUGGGCCCCAGUGGACUUCAUGGCCCCCUUCUCUCUCGUUAGUUUCACUGUCCGUGCCCUCUGAGUAAGACCCCCGCCCAUCCGACCCCCUUCGUAUCUACACCCGGUGGGGCAGGAAACUGGAGGGAUGGACGGCACGGCAUUCUCGUGCGCACACAAGCACAGGCAUACACGUGCAUCUAUACUCUUGUAGAAGAAACGCGCUCUGUGCCGGCCUGUAUGACCCUCGAUGUGUAAGCGGCACGACCGCACACACCGCCCCAGAAGUCGGAUCGAUGAAGACAGUUAUGCUGACGCACUAACGGUGUUGGUGUAACUCUCUCGCUUUUCCUCUUCCA
rnacentral:misc_RNA from 1 species